UACGUGGGGUGCGAGCGUUAAUCGGAAUUACUGGGCGUAAAGUGUGCGCAGGUGGCUGAGCAAGUCGAGUGUGAAAUCCCCGGGCUUAACUUGGGAAUUGCGCUCGAAACUACUUGGCUCGAGUGUGGCAGAGGAAGGUGGAAUUCCAGGUGUAGCGGUGAAAUGCGUAGAGAUCUGGAGGAACACCGAUGGCGAAGGCAGCCUUCUGGGCCAACACUGACGCUCAUGCACGAAAGCGUGGGGAGCAAACAGG
rnacentral:rRNA from 1 species